GACGAACGCUGGCGGCGUGCUUAACACAUGCAAGUCGAACGGAAAGGCCCUGCUUUUGUGGGGUGCUCGAGUGGCGAACGGGUGAGUAACACGUGAGUAACCUGCCCUUGACUUUGGGAUAACUUCAGGAAACUGGGGCUAAUACCGGAUAGGAGCUCCUGCUGCAUGGUGGGAGUUGGAAAGUUUCGGCGGUUGGGGAUGGACUCGCGGCUUAUCAGCUUGUUGGUGGGGUAGUGGCUUACCAAGGCUUUGACGGGUAGCCGGCCUGAGAGGGUGACCGGCCACAUUGGGACUGAGAUACGGCCCAGACUCCUACGGGAGGCAGCAGUGGGGAAUAUUGCACAAUGGGCGGAAGCCUGAUGCAGCAACGCCGCGUGCGGGAUGACGGCCUUCGGGUUGUAAACCGCUUUCGCCUGUGACGAAGCGUGAGUGACGGUAAUGGGUGAAGAAGCACCGGCUAACUACGUG
rnacentral:rRNA from 1 species